CAGUGGUACAUCGACCCUGAGCACUGAUGGCUCAUUCUACAAUCAGCCAGUGACUUAUUUUGAUAUGUAUAUACAUUAUUAUUUGUCAUGGCAUGAGGGAUUAAACUACAUCACAGUAUCCACUUAUACCUCGGUGAGUUAAUGCUUGCAUGUAUAAUUAUGUUCUACCCUAUUCAUUUUACCUCCCCCUCUGAAGGUGUACCAAGUACCCAUAGAGGAGUGUUCCCAGCGUAUAGACUGUACCAGUUGUACCAAUGACCCCAACCCGUUGUGUGCAGGGGCGUAGCUAGACAUUUACUAAAGGGGUUUCUGAAGGAAUGAAAGCACCGAAGGUGCUGAUGCCUCGGUAGCCUCGAUCCCAGGCCGAGUUUUCGCUUUUAUAACGGUUAGGCGAACAACUGGGCCUGGUACUAGUUGUCUGCGCAUGCGUCAAUCGUUCGUCAGAUUCUGACGAAUGGAUAUUCUCGUUCACUUUCGUGACAUUUAUAUUCGUGUACUAUCGUGUACUAGAAGUCAGUUCCCGUUUUAUCAUUAUUGGAAUCGAUUGGAAUGGCUCUUAGCUGAAGCUUCUCUCUUCUCUGAAGCUUAUUCUGAAGACUGAACAACAAGGGAAGAGGUAUAAAGCUUUGUCAAGCUUGUUAAGGUCAGAUAUUUUUGUGUGGGCCCUAUGGCCGGCUAUGCUAUCAAGUCUUGUUCAUGUUUGGCAAGAAUGUAGGUAGACUAUAGUUUCAUCAUUAAUAUGGUGGAUCAAGUGAAGAGUGUGAGCUAGAGAACUUGGUGCUGCCAUCAUCAGCUCGUCGACAAUGACACUAUAACCGAGAAAUUUAAUAUGUAUAGAUCUACACGUAUUUAAAAUGUCUACUUCUCUGUACAGGAGCAAUGGCUAAUAUCCAGCUAUCCCAACAGUGCUCCUCUUGGCUAUACUAACGGACGAGACUGGACAGUUUGAGACACAGGACUGGAGUAUGACCUGCUCAUUCGAGCGUUGCUGGGUAGCUCAGAGACAUCAAGAGAAUCUACGUUUUCUCAAGCAAUGAGUUACGAGUUGGGGCCUAGAAUCAGAGAAGUCCAGCAGCCUGCUAAAUCUUUUUGAAACGUAAUUUGAAGGCAUUCAAUCAUCCUGAAGUUGCCCUGGGUCACUGUAAUUGUGCUGCAGCACAACUGGCAACUCCCCAGGCCUUUGUGAAGCAGCUCCCUAUGUGCAUCUUUUGUGUAUUCACUCUGUGCAUUUUCUGUGUACAAAUUUCUAUUAUUGAUUUAUUAAAUAUUUUUGCCGACCACAAAUAUACAAUGAAAA